UCCCCGAUAGCCCACCGGUUGAGAUCUCGACUGUUCAUCGGGCGGCCGUUGGUUCGAAUCCAACUCGGGGAGCCA
rnacentral:tRNA from 1 species